CGAACUCCUACGGGAGGCAGCAGUGGGGAAUAUUGCACAAUGGGGGAAACCCUGAUGCAGCGAACGCCGCGUGGAGGAAGAAGGUCUUCGGAUUGUAAACUCCUGUUGUUGAGGAAGAUAAUGACGGUACUCAACAAGGAAGUGACGGCUAACUACGUGC
rnacentral:rRNA from 1 species